rnacentral:misc_RNA from 1 species
GAAAUGCGAUAAGUAGUGUGAAUUGCAGAAUUCAGUGAAUCAUCGAAUCUUUGAACGCACAUUGCGCCCUAUGGUAUUCCGUAGGGCAUGCCUGUUCGAGCGUCAUUCAAACCUUCAAGCUCUGCUUGGUGUUGGGCGUCUGUCCUGCCUCACGGCGUGGACUCGCCUCAAAUGUAUUGGCGGCCGGCACGUUGGCUUCGAGCGCAGCAGAAACGCGAACUCGGUGCCCGACGGGUUAGCUCCCAGAAGCUAAACCCCAUGAAUUUGACCUCGGAUCAGGUAGGGAUACCCGCUGAACUUAAGC